rnacentral:rRNA from 1 species
AGGGCCUUCCAGUACGGUUUUCCGUAUGGCGGAAGUCGAGGUGCUGCAUGGCUGUCGUCAGCUCGUGCCGUGACGGUGUUCGGUUAAGUCCGGUUAACGAGCGCAACCCCUGCCCUUAGUUACCAGCGGGUAAUGCCGGGAACUCUAAGGGGACUGCCUUGGUUAACGAGGAGGAAGGUGGGGACGACGUCAAGUCAUCACGGCCUUUAUGUCCAGGGCCACACACGUGCUACAAUGGCCGGCACAAAGGGUUGCCAACCCGCGAGGGGGAGCCAAUCCCAAAAAUCCGGACCUCAGUUCGGAUUGCAGUCUGCAACUCGACUGCAUGAAGUCGGAAUCGCUAGUAAUCGCGAAUCAGCAGGUCCGCGGUGAAUACGUUCCCGGGCCUU